rnacentral:lncRNA from 1 species
AGAAAAUAACCACCCACGUUCUCAGAGAUUUCAAAAAGAAGAUUUCAAGAGGAAGCCGAACGUUGGAGAACGACCUCCUCCAUCCCUCUUUAAUAAAGGUUUCAUGGCCAUGGCGACGUACAAAGAAAUUUACAGAGUUCUCACAGGUCUUGUAAUGCCCGAUCUUUGCGAUCUGCCUGAUCUUUGCGAUUUGCCUGAUCUUUGCGAUCUACCUAAUCUUUGCGAUAGUCUCACGACCCUAAUCUUGUAAAGCCUGAUCUUUGCGAUCUGCCUGAUCUUUGCGAUCUGCCUGAUCUUUGCGAUCUGCCUGAUCUUUGCGAUCUGUCUGAUCUUUG